GGAGAAAUGGCAGAGUAGGUCUAUUGCAUCUGAUUUGAAAUCAGAAGAAUUAUAUUUAAGUUCCGUGAGUUCAAAUCUCACUUUCUCCU
rnacentral:tRNA from 1 species